UCCGAAUAAACUCACAUAAUAUAAUAUAACAUUGGUACUAGAACACCACAACUAAAUAAAAAAAAACAACUUAGUUUAAAGAAUAAUCAAUUUUAAAAUUGUGUGUGCUCCUCCAAACUGUUAGUUUCAAUUUUGAUAUACAUUUGGCAAUAAUUAUUAUUCGUGACGUUUUCGGAAACUGUUAAAAUGUUAUUACACAUCGGUCAAGAAUAUCGACUAUUACUUCAGAAAAUGAGUUAAUGGGCUACUAAUUUUUGCUUCGUCGAGCGUGUACGAGAAUCGACAACAUGAGGAACUAUGACCGUGGUGCCACACGCUCCAAAGACCUCAGUUUCUGCCGCAGUAUAUUCUUGAUCCAUGCAUUUAACAAUUAACUCUUUGUAGUUUGAUAUUUUAUUACUUGUAUUAUUUUUUC